GGUUUUAUAUUCAAUAAUGAUAUUAGGUUGCAAAUCUAAAGGUGUGAAUAAUCACUAAGUCCU
rnacentral:tRNA from 1 species